GAAAGAAAAGUAUCAAAUUAGCCAGUAACAAAAAGCACGCACGCAAUCUGAAGAGCUACCUCAAGACGAUGAUGAUUUGGGUUUCGACACUAAAACCCAAAGGCUGGUGCCAGCAAACCCUGCGACACUGAAAAACCUGCUAUUUCACGGCAAUCAAACUGGAAAAACAAAUAUAUCAUCAGCUAGAAGAAGGAAUCUUUUAUUAGAAGAAAAACGCAGACGGGUUAAACU